GAGUUUGAUCUUGGCUCAGAUUGAACGCUGGCGGCAUGCCUUACACAUGCAAGUCGAACGGCAGCACGGGAGCUUGCUCCUGGUGGCGAGUGGCGAACGGGUGAGUAAUGCAUCGGAACGUAUCCUGGAGUGGGGGAUAACGUAGCGAAAGUUACGCUAAUACCGCAUAUUCUGUGAGCAGGAAAGCGGGGGACCUUCGGGCCUCGCGCUCUUGGAGCGGCCGAUGUCGGAUUAGCUAGUUGGUGAGGUAAAGGCUCACCAAGGCGACGAUCCGUAACUGGUCUGAGAGGAUGAUCAGUCACACUGGAACUGAGACACGGUCCAGACUCCUACGGGAGGCAGCAGUGGGGAAUAUUGGACAAUGGGCGAAAGCCUGAUCCAGCCAUGCCGCGUGUGUGAAGAAGGUCUUCGGAUUGUAAAGCACUUUAAGUUGGGAGGAAGGGCAGUAAGUUAAUACCUUGCUGUUUUGACGUUACCGACAGAAUAAGCACCGGCUAACUCUGUGCCAG
rnacentral:rRNA from 1 species